UCUUUUGUUUGUUUUUUUGGUAUUUUUUUGGUGUUUUUCUUGUGUUGUUUUACCUGGCCAGGAAUGAUAACGGAUAUCAAAGUGAGAAUCGGAGGCGCAGAACGAACAGAGAAGAAAG
rnacentral:ribozyme from 1 species